ensembl:lncRNA novel transcript, sense intronic to CCDC92
AUGCUGACCUGUAUUGUUUCAUUUCAAGUUUUGGUAUUUAGCAGUACGAUCUAGUCCACUAAGGAAAAUUAGGCUGCCAGAGAGAAAAUAUAACCGCGCUCUGUAGCUUAGGUUGCAGUAGUCGGUUUUAUAACAAAAUGCAAGCUACCACGCUGUAAUACUUUAACAUAUUACGCAGUUCCAGAAACCUGUAAGAGUAUUAAAACUAGGAUUGCCAUUUUAAAACUUUUACGUUUGAAAUUUAUUUAAAGAGCAUUG